GAUGAAAGCUGGCGGCGUGCCUAAUACAUGCAAGUCGAGCGAACAGACGAGGAGCUUGCUCCUCUGACGUUAGCGGCGGACGGGUGAGUAACACGUGGAUAACCUACCUAUAAGACUGGGAUAACUUCGGGAAACCGGAGCUAAUACCGGAUAAUAUAUUGAACCGCAUGGUUCAAUAGUGAAAGACGGUUUUGCUGUCACUUAUAGAUGGAUCCGCGCCGCAUUAGCUAGUUGGUGAGGUAACGGCUUACCAAGGCGACGAUGCGUAGCCGACCUGAGAGGGUGAUCGGCCACACUGGAACUGAGACACGGUCCAGACUCCUACGGGAGGCAGCAGUAGGGAAUCUUCCGCAAUGGGCGAAAGCCUGACGGAGCAACGCCGCGUGAGUGAUGAAGGUCUUCGGAUCGUAAAACUCUGUUAUUAGGGAAGAACAAAUGUGUAAGUAACUAUGCACGUCUUGACGGUACCUAAUCAGAAAGCCACGGCUAACUACGUG
rnacentral:rRNA from 1 species